UACGUAGGGUGCGAGCGUUGUCCGGAAUUAUUGGGCGUAAAGGGCUCGUAGGCGGUUUGUCGCGUCGGGAGUGAAAACCAUGGGCUUAACUCAUGGCUUGCUUCCGAUACGGGCAGACUAGAGGUAUGCAGGGGAGAACGGAAUUCCUGGUGUAGCGGUGGAAUGCGCAGAUAUCAGGAGGAACACCGGUGGCGAAGGCGGGUCUCUGGGCAGUAACUGACGCUGAGGAGCGAAAGCGUGGGGAGCGAACAGG
rnacentral:rRNA from 1 species